GAUGAACGCUGGCGGCGUGCCUAACACAUGCAAGUCGAACGAAGAGCGGUGGAAGCUUGCUUCUUUCAGUUUUAGUGGGGAACGGGAGAGUAACGCGUAAUCAACCUGCCCUUGAGUGGGGUACAACAGUGGGAAACGACAGCUAAUACGGCAUACGAUCUAAUCUCGGCAUUGAGGAGAGAUGAAAGGUGGAGUUGACACGUAAGCUAUCACUGAAGGAGGGGAGUGCGGCUGAUAAGGUAGGUGGGGGGGUAACGGGCCAUCAAGGGGAAGACCAGUAGCCGGUCCGAGAGGGUGGACGGGCACAACGGGAACGGGGAACGGCCCAGGAUCCUUACGGGAGGAACAGUGGGGAAUCUUCCGCAAUGGGCCGAAGUCUGGCUGAGGAACGGCGCGUGGGUGGAGGAAGCCUUCCGGAUGUUAAACCCUGUUAAUUGGGGAGGAAGGCCUGUUUGCGAAUAGUGUGAAGGAUUGACGGUACCGAAAUAGAAAGCCACGGCUAACUACGUG
rnacentral:rRNA from 1 species